AAAGGAACAUCUCAGUCAAAAGCCAAAAUGGCACAUUCAUAGAUCAGAACCAGUUACAAAGGACCAGGAGACAUCUUUGUCAACCUCUUUUGGAUAUGUAUCUACGUACCUAUAUCACCUACAAUCUUAGCUUAAUCUAGGUGUUUUAGUAAAUGCACCGUAUUUUGUUGUACAUAUGGUGAUGGUCACAAGACAAAUACUGAUUAGUUCAGAGAAAUAGCUCUGAUGUUCAGCAAGCCCAAAACUUCUGCUAUUUGCAACUACGCAAACCAAAGAUACAGCAAAAGUCUGUAAUAUUUUGGUGUAUCAUAUAUGCCAUAACAAAAAUAAUUGUGUGUCUGCCACGAAGCCUGACUCCAAGUGCUAAAUAAUUAAGCUUUUUUCA